AAGAGACAGCAGCCGCCGCGGUAAUACAGAGGGUGCGAGCGUUAAUCGGAUUUACUGGGCGUAAAGCGUGCGUAGGCGGCUUCUUAAGUCGGAUGUGAAAUCCCUGAGCUUAACUUAGGAAUUGCAUUCGAUACUGGGAAGCUAGAGUAUGGGAGAGGAUGGUAGAAUUCCAGGUGUAGCGGUGAAAUGCGUAGAGAUCUGGAGGAAUACCGAUGGCGAAGGCAGCCAUCUGGCCUAAUACUGACGCUGAGGUACGAAAGCAUGGGGAGCAAACAGGAUUAGAUACCCCGGUAGUCCCUGUCUCUUAUAC
rnacentral:rRNA from 1 species